CGCGGGAAUUCGAUUAGAGUUUGAUUAUGGCUCAGGACGAACGCUGGCGGCGUGCCUAACACAUGCAAGUCUUGGGAGAAAGGGGUAGCAAUAUCCCUAGUACACCGGCGCAAGGGUGAGUAACACGUAGGCAACCUGCCUUUAGGACGAGGAUAACUCCGAGAAAUCGGGGCUAAUACUCGAUUAUGCAGCGGCACCGCAUGGCGACAGUUGUUAAAAGCCCGCAAGGGUGCCUAAAGAUGGGCCUGCGUCCCAUUAGGUAGUUGGUGAGGUAAUGGCCCACCAAGCCUACGAUGGGUAGCUGGUCUGAGAGGAUGAUCAGCCACACUGGAACUGAGAUACGGUCCAGACUCCUACGGGAGGCAGCAGUGAGGAAUAUUGCGCAAUGGCCGAAAGGCUGACGCAGCGACGCCGCGUGAAGGAUGAAGUCCGUUAGGAUGUAAACUUCUUUUGCAGGGGAUGAAUGUGGUGCCUUCGGGUGCCAUUGACCGUACCCUGCGAAUAAGGAUCGGCUAACUACGUGCCAGCAGCCGCGGUAAUACGUAGGAUCCGAGCGUUGUCCGGAAUUACUGGGUGUAAAGGGCGUGUAGGUGGAACUUUAAGUCGNUNNNNNNNGCCUGCAGCUUAACUGCAGNACUGCCU
rnacentral:rRNA from 1 species